CUACGGGACGCACUAGUGGGGAAUAUUGGACAAUGGGGGAAACCCUGAUCCAGCAAUGCCGCGUGUGUGAAGAAGGCCUGCGGGUUGUAAAGCACUUUCGGUUGGGAGGACUGCUUCUAGCACUAAUAUUGUUGGAAGUUGACGUUACCUUCAGAAGAAGCACCGGCUAACUCCGUGCCAGCAGCCGCGGUAAUACGGGGGGUGCAAGCGUUAAUCGGAAUUACUGGGCGUAAAGCGCGCGUAGGCGGCUAGAUCAGUCGGGUGUGAAAGCCCCGGGCUUAACCUGGGAACUGCAUCCGAUACUGUCUAGCUAGAGUACAGGAGAGGAGAGUGGAAUUCCACAUGUAGCGGUGAAAUGCGUAGAUAUGUGGAGGAACACCAAUGGCGAAGGCAGCUCUCUGGCCUGAUACUGACGCUGAGGUGCGAAAGCGUGGGGAGCAAACAGGAUUAGAUACCCUAGUAGUC
rnacentral:rRNA from 1 species